CCCACGGGAGGCAGCAGUGGGGAAUAUUGGACAAUGGGGGGAACCCUGAUCCAGCCAUGCCGCGUGUGUGAAGAAGGCCCUCGGGUUGUAAAGCACUUUCAGUGAGGAAGAACGCCUGGUGGUUAAUACCCAUCAGGAAAGACAUCACUCACAGAAGAAGCACCGGCUAACUCCGUGCCAGCAGCCGCGGUAAUACGGAGGGUGCGAGCGUUAAUCGGAAUUACUGGGCGUAAAGCGCGCGUAGGUGGCUUGAUAAGCCGGUUGUGAAAGCCCCGGGCUCAACCUGGGAACGGCAUCCGGAACUGUCAAGCUAGAGUGCAGGAGAGGAAGGUAGAAUUCCCGGUGUAGCGGUGAAAUGCGUAGAGAUCGGGAGGAAUACCAGUGGCGAAGGCGGCCUUCUGGACUGACACUGACACUGAGGUGCGAAAGCGUGGGUAGCAAACAGGAUUAGAUACCCCGGUAGUC
rnacentral:rRNA from 1 species